rnacentral:lncRNA from 1 species
UUCUCAUUGAACCUUUAUUAAAAUAAAAACAGGUAUUUCAUAUUCAAAAUGACUUACAGGUAUGUACAUUUCAUAAGAUGUCAAAUGCAUACAGUAUAAGUAAAGUAUUUGGGAGAUUUUUGUUUUCAAAACCAAAUUCUGAAUCACUGAUUAAAAUUAUAGUCACACUAUAUGUUAUAUUUAUAUAACAUUUUGGUUUUAAGCUGAUAAAACAGAAUUGGGCAUAAGAACAUUAACUUAAGAAAAAUGAAAGGAGGUAACAUUUAUUGCAUGCUGUUUUGAGCAUUGUGCUAUGCACUAUAAAUAACCUAUUUUUACCCCCUCGUAAAGUUGGUGUUAUUGUCUCCCAUUAACAGAUGAGAGAACUGAGGCUCAAGAGAUGUAAGGAACUUGCCUGAAGUCAUGGAGCUACUUGUGCCAUUUACUGUGAGGAGAAGAAAAUCAAAUUCAGAGAGGUAGAGGAACAUCAAUUAUGGAAAGCUGUGAAUGCCAGAGUGAAUAAAUAAGUGGAUGAAUAGGGCAAGUUCCAGUUGGAUUGUGCUAAUGCACAUAUUCAUGAAUCUCUCCAAACAGGAUUCACUGCUCUCCAGGGAACCCUUGAAGUAUGCAUCAUUGUUUCAAUGAAGUAUCUUCAUUAUAAAACAUAGAGCCUAUAAAAGGUGAAUACCAUUUGCCACUG